AGUGAACGCUGGCGGUAGGCCUAACACAUGCAAGUCGAACGGCAGCACAGUAAGAGCUUGCUCUUACGGGUGGCGAGUGGCGGACGGGUGAGGAAUACAUCGGAAUCUACUUUUUCGUGGGGGAUAACGUAGGGAAACUUACGCUAAUACCGCAUACGACCUACGGGUUAAAGCAGGGGAUCUUCGGACCUUGCGCGAUUGAAUGAGCCGAUGUCGGAUUAGCUAGUUGGCGGGGUAAAGGCCCACCAAGGCGACGAUCCGUAGCUGGUCUGAGAGGAUGAUCAGCCACACUGGAACUGAGACACGGUCCAGACUCCUACGGGAGGCAGCAGUGGGGAAUAUUGGACAAUGGGCGCAAGCCUGAUCCAGCCGUACCGCGUGGGUGAAGAAGGCCUUCGGGUUGUAAAGCCCUUUUGUUGGGAAAGAAAAGCAGCAGGUUAAUACCCCGCUGUUCUGACGGUACCCAAAGAAUAAGCACCGGCUAACUUCGUG
rnacentral:rRNA from 1 species